GGUCACCUGUCCGUCACUUCCUCAUUCAUCAAAUUUGUACCGAUUCCUGGCCUGGGUGCAAGGCGGGAGGAGGGGAGAUGGCCAGGAGUGAACACACAGCCCUGCCCUCAGGGGGCUUAGAAGGGGUCACAAGGAGAGGAGGACAGCUGAUGACGCAGGAGAGAUGAGCAAAGCUGCAGAGGAGCCUUGAGAUGGUGAAAGGGGAUGAGAAAUGACACAAGGGCCCCCGGGCAAUUCCACGGCUUGGGUACCGGAGCUCAAGGGGCCGCACGGGGGCUGGCCAGGACGAGGGCUUUGCUGCUGCGCCAUUUUACAUUCCUACCAGCAGUGCACAGGAGUGCCAGUUUCUCCGCAUCCUUGUCAACGCUUGCUAUUUUCUGUUUGUUGAUAAUAGCCAUCGACCUCAAAGUUCACUGACAAACAUUGUGUCGUUUGGUGAGGACGGCAUCCCAGGAGGAAGGGACAGCUUGAGAGGGGCAAUGGGGCCUGGAAGCUGGGCUGGGUUGGGGGCAGAAACAGCAAGUGACACGUUUGGCUGAAGCACAAGAGUGUCAUCAGAGACGUGGCUGGGUGAGGCCGACCUCGGAGAGCCUCGGAUGCUACAGGAGGAGCCUGGAUGUCACUCGAGAGCAUUUAUUGAGCACCUACUGUGUACCAGGCCCCAUGCUGGGGGCUGUUUGACGCCAAAUCCAUUGUUCUUAACGGCUACUCCACACCGGCUCAAAUCGUGGUCAGCCUUCAAGCUGCUCAAAGACACGAUGCAUGAAGGUAAUAACUCACAAGGGUGUGGAGAAAUUGGAAAGCAAUUGGAAAUGGGAGGAAUUGGCUAAGCCACAUGGGCUAUUUUAGGGCGCACACGCGGACUCACCCAGCGUAGAAUCUGCUGGGUCUGGGAGGGCUCAUGGCCAACGCGAGAGGGCAGAGGGGGAGUCCCAGGAAAUUACAGACCGUCCGCAGCCUCCCCUCCCUCAGACAAGCUGAGCGUGACCCAGUGAUGGGUCUACAAAAAGGGAGAGCUUGGGAAGGCUUCCACCACAAGCAAUUGCAGUUUUCGGAGGUCAAAAACAGCCGAAUUUUGUUGGCAAGUUCAUGUGCUUCAACCUAACACACAACGGUGUCAAGUCACUUUCACUGGCCCUCAUUCUUCACCCAACAUUUGGUGAGUUCCUACCAAAUGCCAGCAGUGCGGACAUGGAGAAGAACAAAGCACGUGUGGCUCCUGUCCUCAUGGAGCUGUGGCCUUCCGAGACGCAGAACACACAGUCACACGUGCAAUGGGUGAUGGGCAAUGGCAGCCCCGAGUGGGGGGUUACGUGUCUGGGGCACUGGGGACAGCUUCCCCCGUGAAGGGCAGUCAUGAGCAAAGGGCAGUAAGGUAAUGAGUAAAGUAAAGGGCAGUCAUGCCUACCCAAAGCAUGAGUAAGAUUGCCCUGCAAGGCGGUAGGAGGAAAGUGUCCCGGAAGAAGAAACAAGGGCCGGGCGACAGUGGGGGAGCCCAUGGGAAGCACCGCCAGGGUUUGCGGAGCGAGUAGACAGGCUGGCGGACCGAGGGAGACCAAUGUUCUCAUCAUUCAGACUUUCAAAGGUUGAGGCAAAUAGGGCUUAAAAUCAGAAACACUUUAACAGGCGUAGAGUCUUUGAAACAUUUCCUGCUGUGUUUUCCCUUUUGCUAAUUCAGUGUUUUCUCUCUCAAGCAUCGCCACCACCGUGAAACAUAAACCAUGAGGCUUCUGCCCCUGAAGGAGGGUGGGUAACAUCUGCAGCGCGGAGCAGGGAAGAAGGAGGCCCCGGAAUAAGGAGAGCUCCUGCAGACGGUGCAGGGAGCGGCAGUCUGUCAGGGCAAGAACGAUUCGGCCAGGUUUGGGGGAUGCGAGGGCAUCCCAGGUGGUGCCUGUGCCCCCAGGAUGUGUCCACGUUGGGCCUGACGCUGCACCCCACACGGCAAGGCUGCAGCAGAGUGGAAAUGGCGGAGGGUCCCCAGGCAGGUGGGACUGAGGACAGUCUUACAGAGCCCCUCGCUGCAGCUGAGCGGAGGAAGGCCAGGAGCAGAGGAUCCAGGGGUGGCCUUAUGGAUCCAACUGUCUUCCCCCAAUCAAGUGAAGGGGAGGGCAUUAGGGUGGCCCUAGUCCAAUGUGACUGGAGUCCUUAUAAAAAGAGGAGGAGACGCAGCAGAGAUCACAGUGAUGCAUCCACAAGCCUGGGGCUCCCGGAAGCUGGAAGAGGCAAGGAGGGAUCCUUCUCCACAGGCUUCGGAGGAAGUGUGGCACCUGCGAUACCUUGAUCUCAGACUUCUAGACUCCAGACUGUAAUACAUUUCUGUUGUCUUAAGCCAGCCAGUUUGGGGCACUUUGUUACACAGCUCUAGUAAACCAGGACAGAUGGGGAGAUGCUUGACUCCGAGAUGAGACGUUAGGCAAUGCAAGGUCCACCGUGAACAUCAUCGAAUGCCCACACGAUGCCCAGAGACCAGGGCAGACCAAACCAGCCACCCCAGAGCAGGUCAGUGACAGCAGGUAGGACAAGACACUCCUUCCUCGACCUCUUGAGGCGGCAUAAACUCCUCCACACAUCCAGACCCCAACCACAAAAGGAAACAGAAGGGAGACACGCUGAGCGCAGAGGAACCACCCUGACAAGGAGUUAGGGCCUUGAGUUGACCAGAUAUUUGCCUGGAAGAGACUGUCUUCACAAAGGAAGAGACUGACUUUCAGUUUUGUCACCUCCACCUCCUCCACUGCCAAGACAGCAGCAGGAAAGGGCGCGCAAGGUCAAAAUGAGAUCCAUUCUAGAAAAUCAAGUUUUUUCACACGCCUUGGUCCAAGAGUGUACAUUUCAUCCCACUACACUCGUUUUCACAAAUAGUCUCUGUGGAGUUGGGCCACCUCUUUAAGCACGGAUAGAGGAGGGGCUCAGAGGAGGGACACCGAGGUGGGCUGAAUUGGUGCGUCUCCAGAUGGGGUGACCUCAUUUAAUCAUGAGGAUGUUCACUGGAGCAUGGCUUAUAAACGCAAAAUACUGGAAGCAACCUAAAUAUCCAACCAUAUGGGACUGCGUAAAUAAAUGAUUAUAAUGGACUACCAUUGAAAUUAUGCCGCCUAAGAUUGUUUAAUGAUAUGG
ensembl:lncRNA